CACCGAGAGACAGAAACAAUGAUGUCCUUGAAUAAGAGGGCCUGCAUGACUUUGAGAUCCUCAACACUGCACCGCUGUGGCUGCAUCUUCCUGUGUCCAAAGCUACAACUGGUUUUCUGUCUCUGACUCUUCUUGACUCAGCAGAACUAAAGAAAUACCCUCGGAAUGUAUCUCCUUGGUGACUCUGAGUCCAGUCAAGGUGACUGUGAAGACGGACCAUUUGUGGAUGAGCAUUUGGCUUGCUUGUGCCUUUGGACUAAUGUCUGCCAUCUGCUCUUCUGGCCAGGAGCUGCCCAUGCCAGGAUUUCUCAGGUAGUGCAGGCAACUUCAGCUUAUAU